rnacentral:rRNA from 1 species
AUUGAACGCUGGCGGCAUGCCUUACACAUGCAAGUCGAACGGUGACAGGUCUUCGGAUGCUGACGAGUGGCGAACGGGUGAGUAAUGCAUCGGAACGUGCCCAGUAGUGGGGGAUAGCCCGGCGAAAGCCGGAUUAAUACCGCAUACGACCUGAGGGUGAAAGGGGGGGAUCGCAAGACCUCUCGCUAUUGGAGCGGCCGAUGUCAGAUUAGCUAGUUGGUGGGGUAAAGGCCUACCAAGGCAACGAUCUGUAGUUGGUCUGAGAGGACGACCAGCCAAACUGGGACUGAGACACGGACCAGACUCCUACGGGAGGCAGCAGUGGGGAAUUUUGGACAAUGGGCGCAAGCCUGAUCCAGCAAUGCCGCGUGCAGGAAGAAGGCCUUCGGGUUGUAAACUGCUUUUGUCAGGGAAGAAAUCUUCUGGGUUAAUACCUCGGGAGGAUGACGGUACCUGAAGAAUAAGCACCGGCUAACUACGUGCCAGCCGCCGCGGUAACAC